AGCGCGACAAUUAUAUUUGCGCGCCGAAUUUAUUCCAGAUGCCAGCACCUUCGUGUCCUCCCACUUAUUGUAAAUUUUCGUAGCUUCGCGAAGGGAUAAGUCUUGCUCUUCCCAUUUGCCUGUAGGCAGUGAAUACGGAAGCAGCAGGUAUUUGGGCCAUUGUCCCGUGGUCAACGUAGGACUAUUUUAUUCGGCUUGGAUUUUUAUUAGAAGCAAAUUACGUACUGGAAGCACACGAGGUGCUGGAUAUUGGAAGCUUCAUGGCUACGGCUGGUUAUCUCGAUCACGUAAAUACAAAAAAUUGUCACCACGAUUCUCUAUGUUAAUAUAUUUUUAUAUAUAAGGUGCGUGCGUAGCGAAAUUCAGUAAUUUGUCUUAAACGGUAUUUAUAUAUAUUAAAUUCCUUUUAUUAUAUAGCCGCAUAUCA